GAUGAACGCUAGCUACAGGCUUAACACAUGCAAGUCGCGGGGCAGCAUGGGGGUUGCUUGCAAUCCCCGAUGGCGACCGGCGCACGGGUGAGUAACGCGUAUCCAACCUGCCCUUCACCACGGGAUAACCCGGCGAAAGUCGGACUAAUACCGUAUGUUGUCCAUUGACGGCAUCCGAUUUGGACGAAAGGUUUGGCGGUGAAGGAUGGGGAUGCGUCCGAUUAGCUGGACGGCGGGGUGACGGCCCACCGUGGCGACGAUCGGUAGGGGUUCUGAGAGGAAGGUCCCCCACACUGGAACUGAGACACGGUCCAGACUCCUACGGGAGGCAGCAGUGAGGAAUAUUGGUCAAUGGGCGUAAGCCUGAACCAGCCAAGUAGCGUGCAGGAUGACGGCCCUACGGGUUGUAAACUGCUUUUAUGCGGGGAUAAAGUGGCCCACGUGUGGGUUUUUGCAGGUACCGCAUGAAUAAGGACCGGCUAAUUCCGUG
rnacentral:rRNA from 1 species